GAAACAACGGCUCCUGCUCUGAUGACGACGUGCCGUUCUCGAAGCUCAUGAAUAAACCACGCAGGGAGGAGAAACCGUCACGUGGAAACGGGCACAGAUCCAGUUCUAAUUCGGCAAAGGACAAAAGUGCUUCUCCUGCUGAAGCUUCCGAUGACUCUUCAGAUGACAAACCUUUGAUAAAAAAGAAAAUUGUCUCCGCUGCACCAGCUAAAAAAAUUGAGAAAAAAGGCAACAAGUCAAUCAGAUCUAAUGGCACAAAUGACAAAGCAGGUGGUUAUAUUAACAAAACCAUAUUUGAGUGUUUUUUUAAACAUUGUCUGGAACGCAUGGCUUUAAAUCUUUGAUGCACUCAACUGUUUUAGAUACAAACUCCGAUGAUGGCUCGGACAAUGAGGCGCUCAAAACGAUCCCUAAAAAGUCAUCUAAAGCUGCAAAGAAUUCUAUCUCCAAGGCCUCCAAAAAAUCAGUCCCUUCAAAGAAGAAAGAAUCGCUGGAGGACGAUAAAAGCUCAGGGGACGAGCAUUCGAUCGAGCCCCGCAAGAAAAGUUACCCAAAGAGAAAGGCCUCUUGUACUCCGCCUAGGAAAGUGGCGCCAGUAGUGAAAUCCAAAAGGAAUUUAGGGAGGGAAAAGGUUAAAUAUGCAGAGUCUUCAACUGACGGCUCAGACAAUGAACCGCUGUCAACGUUGAUGAGGAAGAAGGCACAGGCUCCUAAAGGGCAAACGACUUCACCAAAUAGCAAGAAAACCAAACCCACGGACAAAUCCCCCAAAGACAGCAGCUCAGACAACGACGACGACGAUGACGAUGAUGAUGAUGAUGAUGAUGAGAGCAACGACGACCUGCCUCUGAACCUUGUUUCCAAGAAGAAACAAGGGAAGAAAAAUGCAAAGAAGGCCACUGCGUCGCCAGGCGGAGCGUCGAGAAAGCGACACGGACUCGUAGAUGACGGCUCAGAUUCUGAACCGCUGUUUAAUUUAGUGAAAAAGAAGCGCACAGACAAAGAAACGCAAAAAAGAGCGAAGGCUUCACCUGCAAAGAAAAAGACAAUUCCCAAAAAGCCAAGAAAGACGGCUGAGUCGGGACUCUCAGAUGACGGUUCAGAUUACGAACCGCAAAUUAAUGUUGUGAAAAAGAAACGCACAAACAAACAAACACAAAGAAAAGCGAAGGCUUCACCUGUGAAGAAAAACACAACUCUCAAAAAAUCAAGAAAGACCCCCGAGUCGGAGUUGUCAAGCAUCAGUUCAGAUGAUGAACCCUUAAGCAAAGCAGUCAAACACCCUCAAGUGACCAAAACCCUGAACAUUAUGCUGGAGAGGUGUGAUGUAGAAGAAGCUGGGGACGCAGGGAGCCUGAACAAAACCAAACAAGAGACACAGGUCGAUGAGAAAACGUCAAGGGAGGAGUCUGAGGAAUCACCAGAAGAAGAAUAG
ensembl:lncRNA